rnacentral:rRNA from 1 species
UACGUAGGGUGCAAGCGUUGUCCGGAAUUAUUGGGCGUAAAGAGUUCGUAGGCGGUUUGUCGCGUCCGUUGUGAAAGCUUGGGGCUCAACCCCAAGUCUGCAGUGGGUACGGGCAGACUAGAGUCAGGUAGGGGAGAACGGAAUUCCUGGUGUAGCGGUGAAAUGCGCAGAUAUCAGGAGGAACACCGGUGGCGAAGGCGGUUCUCUGGGCCUGUACUGACGCUGAGGAACGAAAGCGUGGGGAGCGAACAGG